GGUUGGACUCCCUAGAAGAGGACAGGCUGCCUCUGUAGAUAAAAACGUCUCAUUCUAAGCUUGCAGCAGAAGUCUUCAAGAGAGGAAGGAAUGUUUUUGUACCUGGACUGUUGGCCACUGUGUCAAAGUGGCAGUUGGCUAGCAUGAGAUGCUGCGUACCGCCCUUAGGCUCCAGCCUCACAGCAAUGUUGGUGACACGGUCAUAGAAGCUGGUGAAGCCUCCAAGAAAGUCAAUGGAAAAAGAGCCGGUGGGACGCUGCACAUCCACCGUGAGCUGAUGGGGGCCCGCUGCGGUCUCAACACGGAUUUUCUCAAUCUGCUCCAACAGGUAGCCCACUGUCAGGACUUCAUUCUCCGGGCUGCCCACUGGCCGAGCGCCGACGCUGGUGAUCUGCUCCAAGUGCCGUCUAGAUUGUGAGGCGAGGAAAGAUUGAAAAGAGCGAAAGAGAAUAUUGUGAUGCGGUUCAACUGUGAAGGGGCAAUAAACCAUGCCUGCUUGUUCCAACUAAUUUCUACCCUGGGGAAUCAAUAAAGUAUUUCUAAUUCUGAUUCUGAUUCACAACAUUACAGAAUUUCUUAUUAAUUCCCUUAAGUUUCUGUAGGACUAUAGCUACUGACAGUGAAUCAUUGUAUGUAUGUACAUAUGUGAGGUUAUAGUCCACGGCUUUCUUUUUAAAACCACCAUGAGGUUUAAACUUAACUUAGAUUAAAUACAUUUUCUGUGGGUGUGUUUGCUGACAUGGUUGCAAACACACAGUUUGAGCAUUUUUGUGAGGGAGAAAGGUCUCUUCUAAAUGCACCAUAUAGGAGAGUGGACACUUAAGUGCUAUGCUUACUGACACUUAAAUGAUUAGCUGAAGUGAAACCAGAUUCAAGUUCAGAUAUCUCUCUAUAGACUCUGCUUAUGGACUCGUCUUGAAUGUCAAUGCGUUAAAACAUUUUCUCGUCUCAGGUAAUCGUAGCUGGUUCAUAAGCAGAUAAUCUCUUUUUUAAUCUUUAAAGAGUUGAGACAAACAAA